rnacentral:rRNA from 1 species
UACGUAGGGGGCAAGCGUUGUUCGGAAUCACUGGGCGUAAAGGGCGCGUAGGCGGCCGAUCAAGUCAGGGGUGAAAGCCUGUGGCUCAACCACAGAAUUGCCUUUGAUACUGUUUGGCUCGAGACCGGAAGAGGUUGGUGGAACUGCGAGUGUAGAGGUGAAAUUCGUAGAUAUUCGCAAGAACACCAGUGGCGAAGGCGGCCAACUGGUCCGGUUCUGACGCUGAGGCGCGAAAGCGUGGGGAGCAAACAGG